GGAUCGGUCUCGCAAACGUUAACAGAAGCCUCGCGAUGUUGUACCUCUGGGCUUAGAAACUCUGUGCUGGUACUUAGCUAGCUAGCUACAUUAUUUGAAUGUUUACAUGACUGUUUCUCUGUGUUGGUAACAGAUAAUAAUCAAAAAUGAGCAACGAAGCGGUCUUUGAAACAAUUGAAGAGGUCAAUAAGCAUAUCUCACACGUCGAAGAGUCAACCUGUGUGAAAUAUAUUUCUUAUCGUGUGGACAAGCGCUUCAAUGACCAAGGUUGGAAACCACAGGACCACAAGAACAGGCUAUACUGGGAAUGGAAGUACGGCAAGGGUACUCCCUGUAUCCCCUUUGACGGUGUACCGUUUGUGUUCAUCGGACACAAGCUAAUGGGAUGCCACAGGGGCCGGGCAAAGUGUGGAAUCAAGAAGAGGCAGGAACUUCAGGAUCAAAGGGCAAAAGAUGGCAAGGAAAAAAGAAACCUGUUGCUGAAAACCAAGAAAGUAGCAUGCCCUGCUGUGUUCACAAUCAGCCGCAUUGUGAAGUUCCCUGGAUUCAAGGGUGCAGAUCAGAUGGACGACAGGGUCAAAGGUUACAUCCGAGCGUUGGUGCAGCAGGGGGUGAGGAAGGUGAAGGAGGUAAAGAACCUGAUGGUCCAGUACGUGCGGACGGAGCUGUUCCAAGACACGACCCCGCCGCCGCUGAGGCGCUUCUUCCCCACAGAGAAAACCAUCCAUGCCGUCAUGGCUCAGGUCAUCGCGGAAGAACACUACAGCAAAAUAGACCUGGUCAACCUGCUGACCUUGGCAGAGAAUUGGAAGGCAGAAGCUCCUAGAAUCAACUUCCUGCUUAGGGUUCAAUCAGAGAGCGAGAACCUGUUGCUCUGCUACCAGACGGACUGGCAGCGGCAGUUGCUUCGGCAGUAUGGCAAGGAGGUGUGCUUCCUGGACGCGGCCUAUAAGAGGACACGCUUCCCCCUGCCACUCUUCUUCCUGUGCGUGCGCACCAAUGUGAGCGUGGCGCCGGUGGGCCUGUUUGUCGUGCAGUCGAGGAGCGCCGAAGCCUUGGGGGAGGCGCUGGGGGUGUUCAGGCAGUGGAACCGGGGCUGGAGCCCAGCCUACAUCCUCACUGAACACUGCCCUGUGGAGAUGAAGGCGGUGGAGGCAGCAUUCACAGGUGCUCAGGCAGUCUUCAGCGAUCACCUGCGGGAGAGGACCUGGACCAAGUGGCUGAGCAACCGGUCCCGAGCCAUCACCAACCAGGAGGGGAUCUUUGAUAUGAUGAAGGCCAUCGCUGGUGCCCUUACCAGAGAGCAACACCAGGGGGCAGUAGAACUACUACAGCAGAGCCCCAUCUGGUUGGAAAAGAGACAACUUUUCAAGAACUGGUUCACUAACAAGUGGCUGUCAGAGGAGAAGAGAUGGGCGAACGCUGUGAGGGUUGAUAUUGUCAACUUUGUGUCUAUGGUGAACGGAGGUCUGGAAAUGCAGAGCGACUUUUUCACACAUAAUAACAUGAAGGUCCAUAAAAAAGACACCCUGAGCCAAAUGCUGCAGUUUCUUGUUGACGACUACUUCCCACAGAUGCACCAAAGGUACACAGACCUCAACAGCCAGUCCUCUGGCGAGUACAACCUCAACCCCACUGUGCCUCCGUUCCUGUGGCAUCGACCUUGGAGUGUGGUGGCCCUGGUGAUGGACAACAUGUCUGCGGCCCUGCAAGACCCCGACAUCGUGGUGGAGCAGGCCAGCGACGCCGCCACCGGCACCUUCCGGGUGAAGAGUCGGGCAGAGACCACGGCAGCGCGGUCCUACGCGGUCAGCUUCGGUUCAGAGUCCACCUGGCCCUCCUGUGAGUGUGAGGUGUGGAGGGACCAGCGCCUGCCCUGUGAACACUUCUGUCACGUCUUCAGGUCUGAGCCUAACUGGACCUGGGAGCACCUGUGUCCCAAAUACAGGGACCACCCUCUGCUCACGCUGCAUUCACAGACCACUCACACCACAACAGAGGAGAUGGAGGAAGCCCUCAAUGGCCUAAUGCAUCUCUCCCCAGCUUCCCCAGUCUCUCUUCAGUGGGAUGGGCCUGAAGAAACAGUGCCACUGGUGCAAACUCCUCAAACUCCACAGUUACAACUGCAUAGCAUACAAACACAGUGGGUGGCCCCACAGGCUUCACAGGGUCUGCGGGAGAGGGAGGAACUGCAAAAGGAGGAACUGCAGAGGGAGUGUGUGGCCAAACUCAAAUCCAUCAUGGAGAAUGUGAGCGGGAUCAACGACAUUGACCACCUACAGGAGCUCAGGCAGAAACUGGACGUUCUCCAGGCUCAGAGUGAGGCCGUGCUGGUUCAGAAGGACGCUAGCGUCAAAACAGUUACCACCCCCACGGGGAAGAGAAAAAGGGCAGGGGUGGAGAUUAUCGUGGCCAUGCCCAAACGCAUCAAAGUGCUCUCCCGGGUUGAUAUAGAAAAUGUUCAGAAAUAGCUUUCUUCUAAAGAGUGAGGCCCCCAAAGAGGGAAAAUAAAGUACGGUAUUAAUCAGGUUGUCGCUCUUAUUUCUUGGGUGAUGUACAAAUAACUCUUUGUUAGGAUGUUAUCACCUAUCCAGUUCUAGAAAGUGUUUGGCUGCUUGAUCACAAGGGUCAGCUUGAUGUAAGAUGCUGCGCAUGUUCACAAACCUUUCCAUAACAAAUUAAUAAAUUAGUUAUAUUGCACAGUCCAAACUAUUUAGAAUUUAGCCAAGUAUCUCAACUCCAUGCUGAUUUCUUCUGCGGAGUUGAGUGGAGCCUAGAGUUUUUGGAGUGAACCUCCAACAUUCUUCGAGUCGCUGUAUAAUCGAUACUUCAAAAUUGUAAAUUCUUAAACCCUUACCGUGUAUCUAUUUUUUUUCCUCUCUGGCUUUCUUUGUUUGCUGAAAUCCAUACCUUUUAAAUAAAAAGUUUAUCAAAUACAA
ensembl:lncRNA